rnacentral:rRNA from 1 species
GACGAACGCUGGCGGCGUGCUUAACACAUGCCAGUCGAACGGAAAGGCCCCUUUGGGGGUACUCGAGUGGCGCACGGGUGAGUAACACGUGAGUAACCUGCCCUUGACUUCGGGAUAACUUCAGGAAACUGGGGCUAAUACCGGAUAGGAAUCCUUGCUGCAUAGUGGGGGUUGGAAAGCUUCGGCGGUUUUGGAUGGACUCGCGGCUUAUCAGCUUGUUGGUGGGGUAGUGGCUUACCAAGGCUUUGACGGGUAGCCGGCCUGAGAGGGCGACCGGCCACAUUGGGACUGAGAUACGGCCCAGACUCCUACGGGAGGCAGCAGUGGGGAAUAUUGCACAAUGGGCGGAAGCCUGAUGCAGCAACGCCGCGUGCGGGAUGACGGCCUUCGGGUUGUAAACCGCUUUCAGCAGGGGCGAAGCUUGUGGUGACGGUACCUGCAGAAGAAGCACCGGCUAACUACGUG